rnacentral:misc_RNA from 1 species
ACGAGUUAGGGCCUCCGUGCCCGACCUCCAACCCUCUUGUAUCACAACACCUCGUUGCCUCGGGGGUGGCCCUGCCUCGCGGCGGGCCCCCCGGAGGACCCCUCAAACACUGCAUUUUAAUGUCGUCUGAGUUAGAUUUUAAAUGAAAUCA